AUUGAACGCUGGCGGCAUGCUUUACACAUGCAAGUCGAACGGUAACGGGCCGCAAGGUGCUGACGAGUGGCGCACGGGUGAGUAAUGCAUCGGAACGUGCCCAGUCGUGGGGGAUAACUACUCGAAAGAGUAGCUAAUACCGCAUACGAUCUAUGGAUGAAAGCGGGGGACCGUAAGGCCUCGCGCGAUUGGAGCGGCCGAUGUCAGAUUAGGUAGUUGGUGGGGUAAAGGCUCACCAAGCCAACGAUCUGUAGCUGGUCUGAGAGGACGACCAGCCACACUGGGACUGAGACACGGCCCAGACUCCUACGGGAGGCAGCAGUGGGGAAUUUUGGACAAUGGGCGCAAGCCUGAUCCAGCAAUGCCGCGUGCAGGAAGAAGGCCUUCGGGUUGUAAACUGCUUUUGUACGGAACGAAACGGCUCUGGUUAAUACCCGGGGCUAAUGACGGUACCGUAAGAAUAAGCACCGGCUAACUACGUG
rnacentral:rRNA from 1 species